rnacentral:rRNA from 1 species
UACGGAGGGAGCUAGCGUUGUUCGGAAUUACUGGGCGUAAAGCGCACGUAGGCGGCUUUUUAAGUCAGGGGUGAAAUCCCGGGGCUCAACCCCGGAACUGCCCUUGAAACUGGAGAGCUAGAAUCUUGGAGAGGCGAGUGGAAUUCCGAGUGUAGAGGUGAAAUUCGUAGAUAUUCGGAAGAACACCAGUGGCGAGGCGACUCGCUGGACAAGUAUUGACGCUGAGGUGCGAAAGCG